UCGAACCAUCUAGUAGCUGGU
rnacentral:ncRNA from 2 species